rnacentral:rRNA from 1 species
UACAGAGGUCCCGAGCGUUGUUCGGAUUCAUUGGGCGUAAAGGGUGCGUAGGCGGUCGUGACAAGUCACUUGUGAAAUCUCCGGGCUUAACUCGGAACGGUCAAGUGAUACUGUCGGACUAGAGUACAGAAGGGGCAACUGGAAUUCUCGGUGUAGCGGUGAAAUGCGUAGAUAUCGAGAGGAACACCUGUGGCGAAGGCGGGUUGCUGGGCUGAUACUGACGCUGAGGCGCGAAAGCCAGGGGAGCGAACGGG